UCUAGAACUCGAGAUAUGGGCUGAACACUAAAUAGUGUCUGGGCUGUAGGACAGAUUCCGAGUUCUCCGUUGUUGCUACCAUUUGAACUCGAAAAUGACACUUUUAAAUCUUGGACUCAUCAUGAAAGUUUUAGGCCUAUGUCUUAGCUUUCCAUA
rnacentral:pre_miRNA from 1 species